rnacentral:rRNA from 1 species
UACGUAGGGUGCGAGCGUUAAUCGGAAUUACUGGGCGUAAAGCGUGCGUAGGCGGUUCGUUAAGUCAGCUGUGAAAGCCCCGGGCUCAACCUGGGAACUGCGGUUGAAACUGGCGAACUAGAAUCUGGCAGAGGGGGGUGGAAUUCCACGUGUAGCAGUGAAAUGCGUAGAUAUGUGGAGGAACACCGAUGGCGAAGGCAGCCCCCUGGGUUACAAGCUGACGCUCAUGCACGAAAGCGUGGGGAGCAAACAGG